AAACGAAACCCCUCAUUUGAAAACGGCACUACUACGUUCACUUACCAAAAGCACCCAACAAAAAGAAAAAAGCUCUUUCCAAUCUCUCUUUCUCCAGAUUCAACCGAUCCAUCAAGGCUUUCAAGAAAAAAGGCCUCACAAAAGAGUCCAUUUUCUUCUCAGCUUCCAACCGAGUCACUGUUUAAAGCUUGAAGAGUCUUUGAUUUUAAUCUUAGGAAGAAAAUGAUGUCUCUAACUCCAGAUCAGUUUAGAAAAGUAGGGUUGGGAGUGACGCCAUCUCCAUCUCCGUUCCUGACACCUCGCCCAGAGAGGCGCCGCCCAGAAUCGAGAGGUUCCGAUUGGAACAAUAACCGUCAUGACAGAGACAAAGAGGUUAAUGUUCAAGUUCUGCUCCGAUGCAGGCCACUCAGUGAUGAAGAGCAAAGGACGAACAUUCCAAAAGUGAUAUCAUGUAAUGAACAUAAGAAAGAAGUCACUGUUUUGCAAAGUGUAGCUAACAAACAAGUAGAUAGAGUUUUCACCUUUGAUAAGGUUUUUGGGCCAAAAGCACAACAGAGAUCAAUCUAUGAUCAAGCCAUUGCACCUAUCGUUAAUGAAGUUCUUGAGGGUUUUAACUGCACAGUCUUUGCAUAUGGGCAGACAGGUACUGGAAAAACCUAUACAAUGGAAGGUGGAAUGAGAAACAAGGGUGGGGAUUUGCCUGCUGAGGCUGGUGUUAUUCCACGAGCAGUUCGCCAAAUUUUUGAUACACUAGAGGCCCAAAAUGCUGACUACAGCAUGAAAGUGACUUUUUUGGAACUUUACAAUGAAGAAAUAACUGAUUUACUAGCUCCGGAAGACACUUUGAGGUGUACAGACGAUAGGCAAAAGAAACCCAUUUCUUUGAUGGAGGAUGGGAAGGGUUGCGUGGUUGUUAGAGGCCUUGAAGAAGAAGCUGUGUACAGUGCGAAUGAAAUUUAUACUUUGUUAGAACGAGGAGCAGCCAAAAGGCGUACAGCAGAUACUUUGUUAAACAAGCGGAGCAGUCGCUCUCAUUCUGUCUUUUCCAUUACUGUCCAUGUAAAAGAGGCCUCCGUUGGCGAUGAGGAACUAAUUAAAUGCGGCAAGCUUAACCUUGUUGAUUUGGCAGGAUCAGAGAAUAUAUCUCGUUCAGGUGCAAGAGAGGGACGUGCAAGAGAAGCCGGGGAAAUUAACAAGAGCCUUCUAACUCUGGGCCGUGUUAUAAAUGCACUUGUGGAACGUUCAGCCCAUAUACCUUACAGGGAUAGUAAGUUGACAAGGCUAUUAAGAGACUCCUUGGGAGGAAAGACAAAAACUUGCAUCAUCGCUACAAUUUCUCCUUCCGCUCAUUCUCUGGAAGAAACAUUAAGCACACUAGAUUAUGCAUACCGUGCUAAAAACAUCAAAAACAAACCAGAGGCAAACCAAAAAAUGUCUAAGGCUGUAUUGCUCAAGGAUCUAUACUUAGAAAUUGAGAGAAUGAAAGAAGAUGUUCGAGCAGCAAGGGAAAAAAAUGGAGUUUACGUUCCACAUGACAGGUUUGUCCAGGAUGAAGCUGAAAAGAAGGCAAGGAUUGAGAAGAUAGAGCAGUUGGAGAAUGAUCUCAACCUUACUGAGAACCAAGUUGAUAGGUUCCGUGAGCUCUAUCUCACUGAACAGGAGCAGAAACUUGAUAUAGAAAGUGAGCUAAGGGAUUGUAAGUUGAAUCUAGAGAAAAAUAGUAAGGAACUGGUUGAUCUUCAAGAGAAUCAUAAGGUAGCGAUCUCAACACUGAAGAAAAAGGAGUUCCUUAUCUCCAGGUUGUUGUUAUCAGAAAAUUCUUUAAUUGCACGGGCAAAGGAGUUGCGUGGUGAUUUGCAAACUGCAUCAGAGGACAUAAGUUCAUUGUUUGCAAAAUUAGAUCAGAAAGACAAAAUGGAAGCAGAAAAUCAAAGACUAAUUUUGCUAUUUGGUUCUCAUCUCGACCAGAGUUUAAAAGACCUGCACAAGACUAUCCUUGGUUCAGUCUCUCAACAACAACAACAAAUAAGAUGCAUGGAAGAACAUGCCCGAUCAUUUCUUGCUAGUAAAUGUGAUGCAACAGAAAUCUUAGAAUCACGGAUUAACAAAAUGAGAGAGACAUACACUUCAGGGGUAGCAGCAUUGAAGGAACUGGCCAGCACAAUGCAAAGAAAAUCUUCCUCUGACCUAGAGCAUAUAAAUGUUACAAUCUCGUCUCAAACGAUGGCUGUUGAGCAUUUUCUUGCUACUGCCUUAUUGGAGGCAAAGGAAGUUAUUGACCAUAUCCAGAAUUUACUUGAUGAGCAGAAACAGCUGGUAGCUGUAUCCGCUCGACAACAGGAGGAGGGCCUAAAACGAAGUUUGGCUUCAUCCCAAGUAAUUUCAAAGGCAACAGUUGACUUUUUCAAUGACCUCAGUUGUCAUGCAUCCAAGGUCAUGACAGCUCUUCAGGAAAGCCAAGUCAAAAAAAUCCACCAGUUAGCAGAUUUUGAGAAGAUGUUUAAAGAAGAGGCUGCCAGAGAGGAAAAACAAGCAUUUGAAAAUAUUGCAGAAAUCUUAGCAGCAUUGACAUCAAGAAAAACAGCUAUGGUCUCGGAGAUAUCAAGGAACAUUCAGGACUUGACCAUACAAGAAUCUAAGAGAUUUCAGCAAGAAAUGUACAGCAUGCAGCAGGUUUCCUCUGAUGCUAAGGAGGAAAUAAGUAGAUAUGCAGAAAAAGCGCAAAUGCAUUUCAUUGAAGAUACAUUUUCAGUGGCUGAAUCAAGGGUGGCUAUGGAAAAUGUCCACCAGGAAUGCUCAAAGAGGGUUGACUACUCCUGGAAGCAAUGGGGGAAUACCCAAUCAUACAUUAAUAAUUUCAGUAAGAGCAGUGUAGUUGAGAUCGAGUCUGCUGUGAAGGAAAAUAUCAGCGAAAAUCAUGUUGCACAUGAAGAAUUCCUGUCUGCAUCAUCUGCCAUGGAUGUAGAUUUUGAUUCUAGAACUUGUGAUGUGUUGUCCGCUGUUGAUGAUUCACUGAUCCGAGACCAAGAAAGUAAGAAAGAAAUGGAAUCCAUCACCACACUCUGCCUGGAUCAGCUCAAGUCAAUACAAGAGAAACAUGGUCAAAGCAUAGCAUAUGUCAGAAGUGAAGCAGAAAAGUACCUUACAAAAGAUUAUCUGGUUGAUCAACAUUCUGGCGCAACACCUAGAAGGCGAGAUAUACCAGUGCCCAGCUUGGCGUCCAUUGAGGAGAUGAGAACACCUGCUUUAGAAAAUCUAAAAGAAGAGAAGAAAAUAGAGAACGGCUCAAAAUGGGGCCAUAAUGAGAUCAAGGUCUCUCUGCAAGCACAACCUAAUAGAGCUCCUUUUGCUGAUGUUAACUGAAAAGAAUUAUGGAAGUCAGGUUUUACAUGCAAGUCAGGUUUUGCUCAUCAACUGAUGAGUGCACAAACCCAUUGUAAGAAUUUUAGGAUUUUAUUUAAAAUGGUAAAGUCUGAGAUGAUGUCAUUUGCUCAUCCAGAAUUCUGUGUUAGGUUUAAUGUGUCAGACAUUAUUAUAUAUCUAUAAGCAAGUCCACCAUUCCAAUUUUUACUAACCCUACAACUUACUCCAUAGUCUCCUGCAACAUAUAUACUAUUUUGAGACAUAUAUACUAUUUUGAGACAUGUCUGAUAAACUAUUUUUCACAAAA
rnacentral:misc_RNA from 1 species